rnacentral:rRNA from 1 species
UACGUAGGGUGCAAGCGUUGUCCGGAAUUAUUGGGCGUAAAGAGCUCGUAGGCGGUUCGUCGGGUCGGCUGUGAAAACCUGAGGCUCAACCUCAGGCCUGCAGUCGAUACGGGCGGACUUGAGUACUGCAGGGGAGACUGGAAUUCCUGGUGUAGCGGUGAAAUGCGCAGAUAUCAGGAGGAACACCGGUGGCGAAGGCGGGUCUCUGGGCAGUAACUGACGCUGAGGAGCGAAAGCGUGGGGAGCGAACAGG